rnacentral:rRNA from 1 species
UACGUAGGGGGCAAGCGUUGUCCGGAAUCAUUGGGCGUAAAGCGCGUGUAGGCGGCCAGAUAAGUCCGCUGUGAAAUCUCGAGGCUCAACUUCGAGCUGUCGGUGGAAACUGUCUGGCUAGAGUCCGGAAGAGGAGAGUGGAAUUCCUGGUGUAGCGGUGAAAUGCGCAGAUAUCAGGAAGAACACCCGUGGCGAAGGCGGCUCUCUGGGACGGUACUGACGCUGAGACGCGAAAGCGUGGGGAGCAAACAGG